rnacentral:rRNA from 1 species
GUUGUAUGGUUAAGUGACUAAGCGUACACGGUGGAUGCCUUGGCAGUCAGAGGCGAUGAAAGACGUAGUAACUUGCGAUAAGCCCAGAUUAGGUAGUAACAACCAUUUGAGUCUGGGAUUUCUGAAUGGGGAAACCCACGUGCAUAAGCACGUAUCCUUACCUGAAUACAUAGGGUAAGGAGGCGAACCGGGGGAACUGAAACAUCUAAGUACCCCGAGGAAAAGAAAUCAACCGAGAUUCCGAAAGUAGCGGCGAGCGAAAUUGGACUAGCCCUUAAGCUUUACACGCGUUAGACGAACGGUCUGGAAAGUCCGACGAUACAGGGUGAUAGUCCCGUAGUUGACGACGUGUGUUCAGUGAAAUCGAGUAGGGCGGGACACGUGAUAUCCUGUCUGAAUAUGGGGGGACCAUCCUCCAAGGCUAAAUACUACUGACUGACCGAUAGUGAACCAGUACCGUGAGGGAAAGGCGAAAAGAACCCCUGUGAGGGGAGUGAAAUAGAACCUGAAACCGUGUACGUACAAGCAGUAGGAGCAGGCUUGUCCUGUGACUGCGUACCUUUUGUAUAAUGGGUCAGCGACUUAUAUUCAGUGGCAAGGUUAACCAUCUAGGGGAGCCGUAGGGAAACCGAGUCUUAACUGGGCGUUCAGUCUCUGGAUAUAGACCCGAAACCAGGUGAUCUAGCCAUGGGCAGGUUGAAGGUUGAGUAACAUCAACUGGAGGACCGAACCGACUAAUGUUGAAAAAUUAGCGGAUGACUUGUGGCUAGGGGUGAAAGGCCAAUCAAACCUGGAGAUAGCUGGUUCUCCCCGAAAGCUAUUUAGGUAGCGCCUCGGACGAAUACUACUGGGGGUAGAGCACUGUUAAGGCUAGGGGGUCAUCCCGACUUACCAACCCUUUGCAAACUCCGAAUACCAGUAAGUACUAUCCGGGAGACACACGGCGGGUGCUAACGUCCGUCGUGGAGAGGGAAACAACCCAGACCGCCAGCUAAGGUCCCAAAUUACUACUAAGUGGGAAACGAUGUGGGAAGGCUCAGACAGCCAGGAUGUUGGCUUAGAAGCAGCCAUCAUUUAAAGAAAGCGUAAUAGCUCACUGGUCGAGUCGGCCUGCGCGGAAGAUGUAACGGGGCUAAGUAGUAAACCGAAGCUGCGGCAAUAUACUUUUGUAUAUUGGGUAGGGGAGCGUUCUGUAAGCGGUUGAAGGUGUGUGGUAACGCAUGCUGGACGUAUCAGAAGUGCGAAUGCUGACAUGAGUAACGAUAAAGGGGGUGAAAAACCUCCUCGCCGGAAGACCAAGGGUUCCUGUCCAACGUUAAUCGGGGCAGGGUAAGUCGACCCCUAAGGCGAGGCCGAAAGGCGUAGUCGAUGGGAAACGGGUUAAUAUUCCCGUACUUCUUACAAUUGCGAUGGGGGGACGGAGAAGGCUAGGUGGGCCUGGCGACGGUUGUCCAGGUUCAAGUGCGUAGGCUUAAGAGUUAGGUAAAUCCGGCUCUUUCUAAGGCUGAGACACGACGUCGAGCACCUACGGGUGUGAAGUCAUUGAUGCCAUGCUUCCAGGAAAAGCCUCUAAGCUUCAGAUUGUAAGGAAUCGUACCCCAAACCGACACAGGUGGUCGGGUAGAGAAUACCAAGGCGCUUGAGAGAACUCGGGUGAAGGAACUAGGCAAAAUGGUACCGUAACUUCGGGAGAAGGUACGCUCU